rnacentral:rRNA from 1 species
UAAUACGGAGGGAGCUAGCGUUGUUCGGAAUUACUGGGCGUAAAGCGCGCGUAGGCGGCUUUGUAAGUCAGAGGUGAAAUCCCGGGGCUCAACUCCGGAACUGCCUUUGAAACUGCAUCGCUUGAAUCCGGGAGAGGUGAGUGGAAUUCCGAGUGUAGAGGUGAAAUUCGUAGAUAUUCGGAAGAACACCAGUGGCGAAGGCGGCUCACUGGACCGGCAUUGACGCUGAGGUGCGAAAGCGUGGGGAGCAAACAGG